rnacentral:rRNA from 1 species
GUGGGGAAUAUUGGACAAUGGGCGCAAGCCUGAUCCAGCCAUGCCGCGUGAGUGAUGAAGGCCUUAGGGUUGUAAAGCUCUUUCAGUGGGAACGAUAAUGACGGUACCAGCAGAAGAAGCCCCGGCUAACUCCGUGCCAGCAGCCGCGGUAAUACGGAGGGGGCUAGCGUUGUUCGGAAUUACUGGGCGUAAAGCGCGCGUAGGCGGACUGAAAAGUUGGGGGUGAAAUCCCGGGGCUCAACCUCGGAACUGCCUUCAAAACUAUCAGUCUGGAGUUCGAGAGAGGUGAGUGGAAUUCCGAGUGUAGAGGUGAAAUUCGUAGAUAUUCGGAGGAACACCAGUGGCGAAGGCGGCUCACUGGCUCGAUACUGACGCUGAGGUGCGAAAGCGUGGGGAGCAAACAGGAUUAGAAACCCCAGUAGUCC